AGAUUGAACGCUGGCGGCAGGCCUAACACAUGCAAGUCGAGCGGCAGCACGGGUACUUGUAUCUGGUGGCGAGCGGCGGACGGGUGAGUAAUGCCUAGGAAUCUGCCUGGUAGUGGGGGAUAACGCUCGGAAACGGACGCUAAUACCGCAUACGUCCUACGGGAGAAAGCAGGGGACCUUCGGGCCUUGCGCUAUCAGAUGAGCCUAGGUCGGAUUAGCUAGUUGGUGGGUAAUGGCUCACCAAGGCGACGAUCCGUAACUGGUCUGAGAGGAUGAUCAGUCACACUGGAACUGAGACACGGUCCAGACUCCUACGGGAGGCAGCAGUGGGGAAUAUUGGACAAUGGGCGAAAGCCUGAUCCAGCCAUGCCGCGUGUGUGAAGAAGGUCUUCGGAUUGUAAAGCAACUUUAAGUUGGAGAAGGCAGUUACCUAAUACGUAUCUGUUUGACGUUACGACAGAAUAAGCACGCUAACUCUG
rnacentral:rRNA from 1 species